AUUCCCCUCACCUUCUUCACCUUCUCAUCCCGAGGCAAAACCUACCAGUAUACAUUCUCUUCCUCCCCCACACCUUGCCUCCUCACUCCAUUCUCUCCCUUUCUCCCCGAGUCCCAGGUCCCUUCUUUAUGGCCUUGAUCACUCGACUUCUCUUCCUAUAAUUCUAUACAUCAUCAAGAAAUAUCAUGAGCUUGUUAGUUAUUUCUCUUCUUCUUCUUCAAACCUUAGUUGAGUUGAUUGCUUGUACAUUCCAUAUGAUAUCUUGACUGAUCCAACCCAAUAGCCAGCUUUUGUUUCUGGAUCAUGCUAAUCAAAUUAGCAUCGCCCCACUUGAUCUCUAUUAACAUAAGCUCAACUCUUUAUAGCUAGUUUUUCAAUUUCUUCUUGGUGCAACGAUAAUCUCUUUCUUUUUGUUUGGAACUAACAAUAAGUUGUAGUUAUUUUGUUGCUAUUGCUUUUGAUCUGUUGUUUUAUUUCUCCCCUAUUGUUUUUGAAUCCCACUUAAUUAAUUAUAAUUGAAUAAUAGGGUUUGCUUUAAUCGAUAUAUUUUCAUACUCGAUCGUGUUUGAUAAAUAUUUUGGAAUAUAUUUAUUAUUUGUCCCUUAAAAAGUCUUGGAUCUUUUUGCUUUUGAAAAUAAGACUUGAAGUUAAUUGACUGAGUUCAAGGAAUAUAUCAUAAGUGAUCAUGAUAUCAAGAUCCCACUCCAUGACUACAACCACCAACAAGAUCACCACCUCCACCUCUUACUCCACCAAUCCACCAUCCUUUUUCUUACCAAGAGAUCUAGAUACCCUAAAUGAUCAUAUUAUUGUCCCUUGAAAAGUAGUUUGGGGCCAUAUCUAGCUAGUUCUUUAUUCAAGUACACCCUUUUCCCUUUUAGUUGGUAAUUAAGUGGUACCGAGCCUGCGACUUUAUAAAAGCUAAAACCAUGUUCGCAUUAUUUUUCAUGAAUUUUUCAUGGUGUCUGUGUGUACAUGUUUCUUCUUGCAUAAUCAUUUGCCUCUUCUUAUAAGAAGAGACACUGUAAUAAUUGCUGGAUGCUAUGGAAACAAAAGAAAGCGAUGUUGGUGAGGUUCAAUCCGAAGACAGAUUUACACGAGUGAAAGUAAAAUCCGAUCUCAGAUUGAGCCGCGCCAAUAUCACUUUUCAGAGCUCUUUGCUUUUCCAGCUUUCACCUCAAAGUAUAUUCUGUCUAUGUUCUUCUCAAAAUUUUCUUUUUGAAAACGGAUGUCUCCAACCUUUGAUCUAUCUUCUCAUUAAUACAUGAAUUUGAUACAUUUUCCCGCCGUGGUCUAUUACUAGAAAAUAAUAUAAAAUAUAUUUUAAAAUUUUAUUUGAUAAUUAAGUUUUUGAAUUGAAAUGAUUCUUUAAUAUUUUAUUUAAAUAUUAUUAAUCAAGUAAUUACUAUAUUGAAUGUCAUCAUUUUUAUUCUAUUUAAUAAAAAAUAAAUAUAAAAUAAUAUGAAUAUGUGUAAAUUUUAAGUAUAAAAACUUUUAUUUAAAAAAAUUUAUAAAAUAAUAGAAUAAAUUAUAUCAUAAAAUAACUAUAAUUAUUCUUCUAAUUCUGAGCAGACGAGGUACAUUUUCCCCUUGUACUAAUUCAGCAUGCAGGUCAAGAAUUAAGUUCUAUCGGGAGCUAGGUACGUACACAAGGUAUGUAACUCCAUUGCUCUCUUUGAUAUCGAUAGAUAAAUAAAUUAGGAUCUUUAAUUAAUAUAGCUUGUUUACGGGAUGUUUAGUCCACUAUAUAUAGUCCAAUUAUUUAUAAACACUAGAAGAUUAAAAUAUUUGAAUACAGACAAUUCUCUCGACAUUGAAGUUACGUGCAAAAGAGCUUGCUAGUAUAUAUGUGUAUGAGUUUUAUAUAUACACUUCCAUAAAAUAUCGAAUCCUAGGAGAGAUCUUCAAAGGUAACAUUAUGGGAUAUCAAGCCAUGUUUUAAGGGAAUUGUUGGGUUAAUUAAUAUUUUAUUAAGUUUUAUUACAAUACAACAAUAAGUUCUUAGUUUAACAUCUAUAAUAGGAGUCCUCGAAAGUAGAAUAUCGUACAAGCUACUUUAAUUACUUUAAUUGAAGAAUAGAUAGGUUAUAGACUAGUAGCUGAGUCCUUAAAUCCCCCAUUAAAUUAAAUCUUUAGAUUAGCCAUAGUAUUCAUCAAUCCAUCCUUCUUUUCUGUUUUCCAGCGUUUAGUGAGGCAGACAGUAGCGAUAUCUCCUCUAAUACUUCAUGUUUUGAGUGUGAAUCUAUUUUAUUUUUUUGAGAAUAAAGAAAUUCAUUCUAAAAGUAUUUCAAUAAUAAAUUUAUUUUAUAUUUAUAUAUUUAUUUAUUCAACCAAAUAUAUUAUUUAUCCUUCACUAACUUAACUAAACGCAACCUAACUAACAGAAAGUUAGUACUGGCCGGAAUUGUUAAUAUUUUCAAACAACAUUAUUUAUGUUACAUUCCUUAAUUCUUUAUAUUGUUUCACAAAUAAAUAAACAAAUGAUUUGUCUUUAUUUAAUUCGAAGUUUGAUAGAUGCAAGUAAACAUAAUUAGGUUUUUCUGUGCAUAUAAAGCCUGAAUAUUCAAUAUAAAUUCUUGUAAAUAUAGAAUCAUUUUUAGGAUAAGAAACAAUUAAUCUCGUUAUACCUUAAUAACUUUCAGCAAUACCUUGUACAAUAUGGCACUGUUCCAACAAAGAAAGAGGUUUCUAUAUAUUAAUUUGUUAUAGAAAUUAAUGGGAAACUUAAAUUAAACCAUACAUAAAUGGCUUCAUUAAUUCUAGGGUUUGGAUAUAUAUAGAGAUAUGUACAAAUAUGGUAAUGACCUAUCUAGCUAGUUGAUCGUACGUAUAAUUGCUUCAACACCAUCUUCUUCUUCUUCUUCUUGGUAGAGAAAAAAGAAAAGGAAAUCCCUGAAUGAAAAAGACAUGCUGAUUUCGAAAGAAGUGCUUUGCUGGACGCCAAUGAAGCUUCUAAAGUGAGUUGCAUUAUUUGGUUUCUGUCGGCACAUUAUUAUUGUAGAUAAAAUAGUGAUCACUAUUGCAUUUUUAUCCCUCCCUUCUAGCUACUAGUCUAAAUUUUCACCCCCCUUUGGGCCCUUCCUAGCUAAGCCAGCAUGAUUUUUCCACGGCCAUUAUCUUUUAGGUUAGUUCCCGUCCAGCUUCAAACAAACUAAUUAAUGCAGAUUGAUUUCUAGAUUGAACUCUGGAACGGUCUAGAUUUAUUAGUACGUACGUAUUGCUCUUUGACGGGUCAUUUUAAGAAAAUUUUUCUUUAGGUUUUUGGACAUGAAUUAUCACCUAUAUCUUCCUUUAAUUCAGCCCUUAUAUUCUCUUUUUUUUUAUAUAGUAAUUGGGUAGAAUUAAAUUAAAAUAGCAUCAUUAAGAAGAUGAUAACUGAAAAAAAAAAACUUACAAUAUAAGUAUUAUUCUCGUCUUUCUUACCUAAUUAAUAAGGUGUCAACUUUCACACCUUCUAACCCUAGCUAGUAAUCAAGACAUAUGAUUAAGGAGAUUUAUUCCCCUCUCAACCUUUUAAGUUCAAAUUUUAAAGUUAUAUCUAGAUAUGUCUUCCAAUACGAGGAUUAUGCCAUUAAAAUACUUUGAAAAUAAGAUUUAAUCUCGAUUUACAUACAAACUAGUCUAAAGAUGAUCCUAGUUGUCGAAACUUCUUCUUUUUUUUUUUUUUUUCCAAUCUGUAGAGUUAAUUACUGUGCAUUGUUGCAUAUAACCAGGGAAAUGGUACUUGAUGAUACCCGCCAAGAAAUCUAGAGAUUUUAAUUUUCUAAUAUAUGGAUUGUGCCAUUAAAAUCUUUCGGGAAUAGGAUUCAAUCUUGAUUAACAGCACAAGUUAAUUCAUGUGCGUUAUUGCUUGUAACAUCCGGAGAACUCAGAAAAUAGGCCCUUGAAACCUCUAGCAGCAGACAACAGCAGUAGAAAAUAUUAAUAAUAGUAAUGAUCCAAUUUCCAUGGCCGACCAUAACAUUCAUCUACUCCUAGCUACUCCAUAGGAAUUUGUGUCAAUUCUCAUGUUACUUUUAGUUAGUGAACCUAGAUCGACUCAAGUCUUGCAUGAUCCCACUUGACUAUGAUUUAUCUAACAUGUUUUGGGCUGGCGAAGCUGUAAUUAUUUGAUAGGAUUAUAGCAUUCAUCGUCUACAGUAUUCAUUCCAAAAAUUAAAUAAAUAUUUUUUGAAAUUUCAUAUUUUCUUUUUAAGAAUUUUACCAAUAUUAAUUAUUUUCUUAAUUAAAGUUGAGGUAUAAUUUAUUUAUUAGUAGUAGUACUUGUAUAUUAUAAUGUUAGUAAUAUGCUAAGGGUACUACAACAAAUAAUAAAAAUGUAUUAAGAAGUUGAUGAUUUUAUAUAUAUAUAACCAAUUGAUAGAUAUCUAUUGGAAGUUGAUGGCGUGGCAUUGUUUCGGCUUUCUCCAUAAGCAAAAGCAUAGCAAUAAGUCCAGCAUUGGGCUCAAGAUGUGUAUAACCUGAUUAAUAAUUUGGCCGACUUGACUUGGAGGAGAGUCUCAGGUGCCGUGAGCUUUAUACGUGGAAAAGAUUAAUUGUAGAGGUAGAGUGUGGUUUAUUUUUUUCUAGAGGUGAAAAUAAAAAGGUAUGAAAAUUUGAUAGUUCCGUACUUAUUCAAUUCAUUUAAGUUAUAAAUUUAUAGAUAAUUUAUCUAUUUUAGGGGCUUUUUUUCUGUUUUGCUCUGGAAAUGUUGUGCACCUUUGUGUUCAUGUGGCUUCUGCUUAAUGGUUGUCUCAGUAAUAAAGGUUUUUUAGCUGAGAGGAAGAUUAUUAAUUAUAAGGAUUCUCUGUGUGUUUUUUUGUUGUUGUUGUGAGGAGAUUGAGAAUAUUAAUCAUCCGUUUCAUCACUGUAUUAUUACAUGGAAUUUCUAGGAUAGAUUCAUGCAUUGGUUUGGGUGUUUAAAUUAUUUAUCCAGUCAGAAGCAAUUUUUAGUGUGAGGCUAUUAUUCUUCUCUACAAAGACUUUUAUUGGUCUAUCUGGUUAGUUUGCAAUCGACUCAUCUUCGAGUCCAAGAUCUAUAAUUGAGAUGUGAUUUUUUAUCUUACCUUUCACUAUUUUUUUUUUGAUUGAAAUCCUCAGUUAGAAACUUCAGUUACAUAAGUUCUGAUUUAAUUAAAAGUUAUAAAUGUAUCUUGAAUUGGAGGAUUUUUAUUUAUUUACAUCUUUUUUUAUAUACUUAAAUUGUAAGUUCUUAUUACUUCAGUUUCCAUCAGGUGUUUUAAUUUAAUUCUACUAUAUCAUUAUAUAUAUAAAAAAAAUACAUAACUUAUUGACAAAUUACGAGAGACAUGGAAAAACUCACAUAAGAGGCAUGUGACGAGAAAAAAACCUAAAAAAUGAGUGGAAAUUCAAGGUAAACUAUAAAUAAGAUAGAAAAAAACGCGAAUUCUAGAUCUGGAAAGGAAAAUGCUCCUGCCGACCAUUUUGGUGAAUUAAACAUAACAAAAGAGAGGACUGUGAGAGACAGGAGAAAGAGAUAGCAAGAGAAACCCUAAAGCCUGUAAUGAUAUUUGCCAAGCUAUACUGAAUGCAUAAGCAUGGCUUAUUAGUUAUUACUGAGCUGAUAGAAUUUCUUCACUGCUUAUGUUCUUAAUUAUGAGUAGUUGCCAACUUUGUUUCCAGGAGAUUUAUAUAACAAUCCCCUGCGUAGAGCAUAUCCUACAGCUUGAAGCACUAUAGAAGACAUCUUGGAGGUGGCCAUGGCUUUAUAUAACCAGUCUAUGUUUGGACAGAACAUAACAGCAAGCCCUGAUGGUUUAGUUUCGACCAAAAUUUGUCAGCUGUCCUCGUUCUCUUGGAACAAAUUUUUAAGCCUAUAGUUGCAAAAAUGGAAGUCUGUGAAUUCGAAACAAAAUAAAGUUGACCUAGCAAACAGCCGAAUGCACAUCAAAUUUUAAUUUUACUAGUCCAACUCUUGUGAACUAUCAUACCAUCUAGGUCUGAGACAAUCUUCACUGGAUUUGGUUCUUUUCACGGCUAAUAAUUGAGCUGAAAGGCGUAAACACCUGCAAAACAAAUUAUUUAUUGAGCCUAGAAGAUUAUCUGAUGUUUAAGUAAAGCUAUAUAAGAAAAGCAGCCUUAAAUGUUAUAUAUUGAAUGUAGCAUAGUGUACUGAUGAAGAUGAUAAUUGCAAGUACAACGAGAAGACAGUAUGUUUGUGUGUGUAUGAAAUUGAUCAUCCUCCCUUGCCUACCUAGUGGUUCAUUGAUGUUUUUAUACCCAUGAACCACGCAUGUGAAAGGGGGUAUAUAUGGGAAAACACUAUAUGACCUAGUUUAGAGGCAAUUAUUCAAGAUAAUAGCCCUUAAUAAUUGAUGUUACACUGUUGAAUGAGAAAGAAUGGUGUCAAGUACUAGGCUAUAUAUAGGGUAUGAACAUGCUUUUAUGUUGUUCGGGCAUGUCUGUCUAGGCAUUACUGUGCCUUCGGGAUAGUGUUGCUACAUUUCAAAGCUAAAUAUAUGGAGAUGUGUAUGUGUUGGGCUAGUUGGAUUAACUGAGCUUCUCAGAGACUGCAUCACACCUCCUAGGUCAAGCAAAAUAGUGAACCAUGUAGUGUAGUGCUAGAAGCCGAAGAAGAGAUAUUCGUGUUUGGAAUUGGGAGAUCCGGAGAGGAUUUGGGGCUGAUAAACUUUGGGCUGGUAAGUGUAGUGGCUCUUAUCUAGUGUCCGUCCUAUGCCAAGACCUGGUGCCAUGGGGUGUAAGUUCUGCAAUCCUAGGCCAAUAAAUGAUGCAAUUAGUUGGGCUAAAUUGUAAGGUGCUGAUCCUGAACCCUGUCACAUACCAAUCAUGCAAUUUCUUCAUUUGCUCUGAACAGCCUAAGAUUUUUUUUGUUUAUCUUUAUCUUUUUUUUCAAAUGAAUUUCAAGAAAUAACUAAUAGCAUAUUACUAUAGUUAUUGUAUUAGCAGCAUAAAUUUUCUCGUAUAUAUAACUAGUCAUAAGAACAUUAUCAAUGCUGAAGUUCUAUCAGUUGAGUGAUAGCAACUGAUUCACUUUAUGUCCUUCAAUGUUGUAUCCUAGCUGGCUUCAAAUUAACAUGCGGACUACCUUCGAUUUGAGUAACUAAUUACUUUUACAGUGCGAGUGAUUACUAUUUAGUAAGAAAAUUAGAGCCCUAAAAGGGGCCUUAGUGCUCUCAUACAAAAAAAAGAGAUGGACAACUUGGAGGUAGAGCCAUGGUGUUCGUUGCUGAUGGCAAGCAUAUUCUAAAAAGGAGUUGCUGAUGGCUGUACUAUUCACAUAGCAAAGAGAAUUUUUACUGUCUCCUUUUAAGAAAUGACUGGCAUUAUAAAUUAAAGCAAGAUAAGAUUCUAAUGUGAGUGCAUGCAUAUAUGAUAAAAUGCACGUCAUUUGAAACCUUUACUGUAACCUUUCUGUGAAUUGUAAGUUAAAAGCAAAAUGAGAUUCUAGUUUGAAUAUGA